CACGUAGUUAGCCGGUGCUUAUUCUUACGGUACCGUCAUGACCUCUCUUUAUUAGAAAGAGGCUUUUCGUUCCGUACAAAAGCAGUUUACAACCCGAAGGCCUUCAUCCUGCACGCGGCAUGGCUGGAUCAGGCUUUCGCCCAUUGUCCAAAAUUCCCCACUGCUGCCUCCCGUAGGAGUCUGGGCCGUGUCUCAGUCCCAGUGUGGCUGGUCGUCCUCUCAGACCAGCUACAGAUCGUCGGCUUGGUAAGCUUUUAUCCCACCAACUACCUAAUCUGCCAUCGGCCGCUCCGUCCGCGCAAGGCCUUGCGGUCCCCUGCUUUCAUCCGUAGAUCGUAUGCGGUAUUAGCAAAGCUUUCGCUCCGUUAUCCCCCACGAUCGGGCACGUUCCGAUGUAUUACUCACCCGUUCGCCACUCGUCAGCAUCCGAAGACCUGUUACCGUUCGACUUGCAUGUGUAAGGCAUGCCGCCAGCGUUCAAUCUGAGCCAGGAUCAAACUCU
rnacentral:rRNA from 1 species